GAUGAAGAACGUAGCGAAAUGCGAUAAGUAAUGCGAAUUGCAGAAUUCAGUGAAUCAUCGAAUCUUUGAACGCACAUUGCGCCCGCUAGUAUUCUGGCGGGCAUGCCUGUCUGAGCGUCAUUUCAACCCUCGCCCCCGGCUUUUGCUGGGAGCGGUGUUGGGGAUCGGCCGCCCGUCACUGGGAGGCCGGCCCCGAAAUAGAGUGGCGACCACGCCGUGUGCUCCUCUGCGUAGUAGUAAAUCACCUCGCAGGCGGACAGCGGUGCGGCCUGCCGUAAAACCCCCAACGCUUUCUGGUUGACCUCAGAUCAGGUAGGAAUACCCGCUGAACUUAAGCAUAUCAAUAAGCGGAGGA
rnacentral:misc_RNA from 1 species